GACGAACGCUGGCGGCGUGCUUAACACAUGCAAGUCGAACGGAAAGGCCCCAGCUUGCUGGGUUACUCGAGUGGCGAACGGGUGAGUAACACGUGGGUGAUCUGCCCUGCACUCUGGGAUAAGCCUGGGAAACUGGGUCUAAUACCGGAUAGGACCGUGCUUUAGUGUGUGCGGUGGAAAGUUUUUCGGUGCAGGAUGAGCCCGCGGCCUAUCAGCUUGUUGGUGGGGUAAUGGCCUACCAAGGCGGCGACGGGUAGCCGGCCUGAGAGGGUGUACGGCCACAUUGGGACUGAGACACGGCCCAGACUCCUACGGGAGGCAGCAGUGGGGAAUAUUGCACAAUGGGCGCAAGCCUGAUGCAGCGACGCCGCGUGGGGGAUGACGGCCUUCGGGUUGUAAACCCCUUUCGGCAGGGACGAAGCUUUUGUGACGGUACCUGCAUAAGAAGCACCGGCUAACUACGUG
rnacentral:rRNA from 1 species